CGCUGUAGAAUGUUGCAUAGUUAUCUAUAUGAAGAAAUGUGUUCCUUCAAACAUUCUGAAUGCAUGGGUUUUGUCUUUUUAUAUUCAGUCUGACAUGCCAAAGAUAAGGAAAUGGUGGUACCUAACUGAUGAGCAGUGGUCUGGAAAAACAUGGACAGAGGUUUGCCUUUUGGACUGAGGAAGCUUCACACCUGCUGAAAGCGAACUUGGAGCCCCUCCAGCUGUUCUCAGACCUGGUGGGCAAGCUGUGACUGACUGUUCUACAAAGUGUAAUAGUGGGUGUCAUAGGAGUUGCGCAUCAUGAGGGACCUCUGCAGUGCUGUGUGCUGGAUUUGCAAGAAUCACUCCCUCUUUCAUGGAAAGGUGACAGAACCUGCUGUUCUCCAGAUGGAGGCUGAGGAUCAACAGGAAGCACUCAGGGAGGUCCUGGAGGGUCAAAGUGGCAAUAUAAAUGACCCAUUUAUAUUUAUUUUUCAUAAUAGGAAGGACAUGGAAACCUUCCUUUCUAAUUGUGUUGAUGGAACGGGUCUUAAACUUCAUGCCAUGUUUGCGUAAUACGAAUUGUUUUCCAUCCAUCCACCAUCUCCCGCUUUAUCCGAGGUCGGGUCAUGGGGCAGCAGUUUCAGCAGGGAAACCCAGACUCCCCUCUUCCCUCGAAUUGUUUUCCUCAUUCUUUUAUUCUGUUCUUUAUAUUGCUUUUUUGCGCAUUUGUUCUAAUUUAUUUAUACAUUGAUACACUACCUACAAAUAUGUUGUUUGCCAAAUUAUGUAUAGUGAUUUGUUUAUGUAGGAAAUACUUCUGUUAUUCUAAGAUAAUGUAUGUGGAGAAAAGC